UAGGGAAUAUUAGUAAUGGGCGAAAGCCUGAACUAGCAGCGCCGCGUGUGCGAAGAAGGCCUUCGGGUUGUAAAGCACUUUUUGAGAGGAUGAGGAAGGACGGUACUCUCAGAAUAAGUCUCGGCUAACUACGUGCCAGCAGCCGCGGUAACACGUAGGAGGCGAACGUUAUCCGGAUUUACUGGGCGUAAAGCGCGUGUAGGUGGUUUGGUAAGUAGGGCGUGAAAGCUCCUGGCUCAACUGGGAGAGGCCGUUCUAAACUGCCGAACUAGAGGAUGGUAGAGGGAGGUGGAAUUCCGGGUGUAGCGGUGGAAUGCGCAGAUAUCCGGAGGAACACCAGAGGCGAAAGCGGCCUCCUGGACCACUCCUGACACUCAGACGCGAAAGCUAGGGUAGCAAACGG
rnacentral:rRNA from 1 species